CCUACGGGAGGCAGCAGUGGGGAAUUUUGGACAAUGGGCGAAAGCCUGAUCCAGCCAUUCCGCGUGCAGGAUGAAGGCCCUCGGGUUGUAAACUGCUUUUGUACAGAACGAAAAGGUUUCUACUAAUACUAGGAGCUCAUGACGGUACUGUAAGAAUAAGCACCGGCUAACUACGUGCCAGCAGCCGCGGUAAUACGUAGGGUGCAAGCGUUAAUCGGAAUUACUGGGCGUAAAGCGUGCGCAGGCGGUUAUAUAAGUCAGAUGUGAAAUCCCCGGGCUCAACCUGGGAACUGCAUUUGAGACUGUAUAGCUAGAGUACGGUAGAGGGGGAUGGAAUUCCGCGUGUAGCAGUGAAAUGCGUAGAUAUGCGGAGGAACACCGAUGGCGAAGGCAAUCCCCUGGACCUGUACUGACGCUCAUGCACGAAAGCGUGGGGAGCAAACAGGAUUAGAUACCCUGGUAGUCCACGCCCUAAACGAUGUCAACUGGUUGUUGGGUCUUAACUGACUCAGUAACGAAGCUAACGCGNGAGUAGACGCCGNGGGAGGUACGGCCGCGAGUAGAACGUACGAAAGAAGUUAGACGGCGUGAGACGUGACCGACGGACGACGACGAGGGAGGAGG
rnacentral:rRNA from 1 species